rnacentral:rRNA from 1 species
UACGUAGGGUGCAAGCGUUGUCCGGAAUUAUUGGGCGUAAAGAGCUCGUAGGCGGUUUGUCGCGUCGGCUGUGAAAACCCGAGGCUCAACCUCGGGCCUGCAGUCGAUACGGGCAAACUAGAGUGUGGUAGGGGAGACUGGAAUUCCUGGUGUAGCGGUGAAAUGCGCAGAUAUCGGGAAGAACACCCGUGGCGAAGGCGGCUCUCUGGGACGGUACUGACGCUGAGACGCGAAAGCGUGGGGAGCGAACAGG